ensembl:lncRNA
GCGGUGAUGAAAGAGGUGAGGGGUGAGGGGAGUAAGCGCUAAAGUGUGUUGGAGAGUCAGGUGGACAGGGGUGUUUGAAGCUUCUUACUCGGGAACUGCGCGAAGCGAAGCCACUGCCCAACUUCCCCAGGAACUGUGUCACCUCCAGAAUGCUUCCAUCCCUCCGGGACAUCUAUCUUCUCCAAGCCCCAACCAUGAAAGAAACUUCCAAAUUAGCAGAUAUCACUGAGAACCUAAGUUGUUCCAGGCACUGAUAGAGAGGUGUGAGUAACAUGGUAUAAAAAAAUCAUGAACGAAUUCAUAUGAGGCGAUAGAAGAUGCACGUCCUCUCAUGGGAGAACUUCUAGAGGACUAAAGGUUACUGGCCUCUUUUAUUCUUUUCAUCAUGCCCACCCAUUCCUGUGAAUGACUCCUGUAGCAUCACUAAAAUGUCAUGUCCAGCUUGUUCUCCAGGAAGAAUGAACGUGUGGAAGCUGGCAUUUGAUUUCUUCCUGUUGGCUACUGACCUUAGACAGCAUGGACAGUGUGGAUACUCACUCUAACAUCAGGCCACCGAGACAUGUUAUCAGAAAAGAGACAGAUAUGGAGGUUCUUGUACCAACAAGACUGUAUACUAUAUACUAGACAUUCUGGUGACCUGUAAGUCCAACAGAGAAAACAUAUAUCUCAAUUUAAAUCUCAGACAUUACUUGAUCUCGAUGCUCAUCUAUGUAUUUACCUACAUGUACAUAUUCAUAUUGCACACACACACACAUGCAUGCACCCUUAGCCAUAUGAAUACUGUGAGUAAAGCACUCAUAUUUUACCGUAACUCCUCACCCAGGAAUAUGAAUCAUUAGAAGGUCUUGCAUGGCAAUGGAAAAGAACCUUGCUGAAUUGAAGUGCUUAAAUGAAAGGCAACCAGACAAAGGGAGAGACAAAGAGAAGACAGAAUAGACAGCAAUUGAGGUACAGAGAGACAGACUAAGAGAAAAGAUCCCAAAGACUAUGAUAGAACCAGAGUGAGAGGGAGAGAGCAGGAGGAAGGGAGAGAGAGGGAGACGGAACAGGACUAUGUCGAAACAUGGAGACCCAGAUAUCCAAGGAGAGAAUCACAGGCAGAGUGAGAAACUGAGGGAAACCAGUGACAGUGGAGAACUUGUAACUCAUCAGAGUUUUCAAAAGUUCUAGAGUGGGACUUGAUCUUACAUCCACUAGAACCUUGCUUACUAAUAAGUUGGGUGUUUUUCAUUUUGUUUUAUGUUUUUUUUUUUCUUAAGUUUUGGUAUAAUUUCUAUUUUUUCCCAUAGAUAUCAUGUCUUACUACUAAAGGACCUGAAAUAUAUGCCCAGUUGCAGGGCACAAGGCUAACCAGUACACCACCACAGUCCCCGUUUGAAGGAAUGUGCUGGUGGCUUCUGAUGUCACAAAGAAAGGGUAUUUAAAUUUUUUUCCCUUUGGCUUGCAAUUUUUUUUUAAAGAUUUUAUUUAUUUAUUCAUGAGAGACACAGAGAAAGAGGCAGAGACAUAGGCAGAGGGAGAAGCAGGGAGCUUGAUGUGGGAUUUGAUCCCGGGACUCUGCUAUCACACUCUGUGCCAAAGGCAGACACUCAACCAUUGAGCCACCCAAGUGUCCAUUGCAAUGGGUUUUACUUUUGAAAUAGUAUUCAUCCUUGUGGUUAGAUUUCUAGGCAGCCCACAAAAGCUUCAAGUCCUAGCAUUAGAGCUUAUGUUAUAAUUUAGAUAUUGAAAGGGUUAGAUAAUUUUAUAGGCUCAUCUGAGCAUAAAACUAGAAUUAGUAAUUUCAUUUCUGGUGAAACUGUGCAUUUGAGGAGAUAUGGGGGUCCCAAAGACAACAAU